GCCAGGUGUGGUGGUGCAUACCUGUAAUUCCGGAAGCUCUGGAGACUGAGGCAGGAGGAUCACAGGUUCAAAGCCAGCCUCAGCAAAAUCGAGGCACUAAGCAACUCAGUGAGACCCUGUCUCUA
rnacentral:sRNA from 1 species